UCUCUUCUUCAGCGAUUCUACAAUCCAAUUUCAGGUACUUUCUUAAAUCACCUCUUGAAGCUCUCUGAGAAAAAACGAAAAACACAAAAUAUCAGGAGAAAUACGACUAGAUGGAAGGAAUAUAGCGCACCUACAACUCAAAUGGUUGAGAAAGAACAUUGGCGUGGUAGCACAAGAACCCGUCCUGUUUGCCACCAGCAUAAAAGAAAACAUCAGACUUGGAAAGAUAGAUGCAACUGAUGAAGAAAUUGAAGCUGCUGCUACAGCAUCAAAUGCAAUCGGAUUUAUCAUGCAGCUGCCUGAACGUUUUGAGACUCAGGUAAGAGAGAAGCUAAAUACCUGUUGAUGUUCUGAAGAAUCGUCGGCGGGAAACUAGGUUGGAUAUAGUACUGCGCAGCUCUCUGGCGGUCAAAAGCAACGAAUUGCAUUAGCGAGGAUGAUCGUUAAGAAUCCUACCAUUUUGCUGCUCGACGAAGCAACAAGUGCACUGGAUAUCGAAUCGGAGCAUAAGGUGAAGGACGCUCUUGACGCUGUCAUGGUGAAUCGCACGGCGAUAA
rnacentral:lncRNA from 1 species